rnacentral:rRNA from 1 species
UACGUAGGGUGCGAGCGUUGUCCGGAAUUACUGGGCGUAAAGAGCUCGUAGGUGGUUUGUCGCGUUGUCCGUGAAAACUCACAGCUUACAUGUGGGCGUGCGGGCGAUACGGGCAGACUUGGAGUACUGCAGGGGAGACUGGAAUUCCUGGUGUAGCGGUGGAAUGCGCAGAUAUCAGGAGGAACACCGAUGGCGAAGGCAGCUGCCUGGCCUGAGAACUGACGCUGAGGUGACGAAAGACGUGGGGAGCGAACAGG